rnacentral:lncRNA from 1 species
CUGGGCGCUCUUUGGGCUGCGUAGGCAACAGUGUUGUCCCCUCGCCCAAGACAAAAAUGCCUAAAUCCAAGAAUUAAUAAAUAAUGGUGUUGGAGCCGCGGGGUUCCGGAGGCGGCCUUCGUGCCUGUUACGUGGGGGCCUUCCCUUAAAAUUGGCUUUGAAGUUGAGGAGGGCUGUGGGACUUGGAAAGUUUGGGAAGCGUGAUAGAUUUUGAAGAGAGGGGAGCGGCCGCGGCAGCCUCCGUUUUGGAGCGGGCUGGAGUCUGCCGUGCCAUCGGGAGUGCCAGGGCAGCCAUAGGAGGGAGGGCGAGCGCCGGCGCCUCCGCUUCGCGUUCUGCCGCGCCGAGCGCGGGGUGCGCAGGCGGCAGCGCUCUUGGCCUCCCGUAACCUGCCGGAAAGCCCUGUGCCGCCCGGCGGAGCCUGCACGGCCAAGGUAAAGGCAGUCCGUGAGGCGGUUUUGUUAUUUUCCCGUAGCUCGGCUUGUGCCAGGUUCGGCAGGCAGCGGCCCCUGUCCCAGCGCAGCCGCUGGCAGAGAACACUGGUGAGCGCUGGUAAGGUCCCGGGAUGGAGCUACUCGAGAGGGGCAAAGCUUAGGCUGUGGGCUGGCAGGAAAACGCUCAUCUAAAAUUUGCGAUAAUAGUCCAGACAGAAAGUGGGCUGCUGGUAUAUUGUCCAGGGAAAAAUAAUCUCAAAAGUAAUCACCGUGAAUUUAUGGUAUUGUCCUCUUCUAGUGAAGAGUGCAGAGCUGUAGAUGGAGGAACGGGCUGUAUCCUCUACCUGGGAAUCGCUUCUACUUUUACCAAGUCUUGUCCUACCGAGAGAGAAACACAGAAGUUCCUCUUCCAAAGAGGAUUUUUUUCCUGGUCUUUUCUGUGCAUUAAAGCCCUUAUCCAAACUCAACUCUAGAGUGGGAACUUUUCCACUCACACUAGUACGAAUUGCUCCAUUGACUCCACAGGCUUGGAUCAGGCCCUUGGAAAUCUUGUUACAAAGCUGUAAACUCCCUGAAGGCCUGCAUUUUUGUUCUUGGUGGGAAGAAGUUAAAAAAAAAUUCUAGCAACAUGAAAAUAUAUAUAGU